AACCAUUUGUAACAGAUUAUUUCAUUAAAUUGUCCUCCCAUCGGCUUACAGAGUUUGAUCUAAAGCACAGUGAAACUUCUAAGCACCCUCAUGUCGACCCACCAUAGACAGCAUUGGGUCUAAAGAAAAAUGGAUCUGUUAAGGAACACUUUUGGCACUGAAUGAAAGCUUCAGCAGUGUGCAAUCUUUGUUAGUCAGAAACUGUUUCUGUGCAAUCUUUGCCUACUGUGCCGUUUACCUUCUGUAUGAGCCCAUUAAAGUAACUGGGAAUCUGGGGUGCAGAAUUGUUGCUGUGAUUCUGCCCUUGUAGACUGUGUGCUGCUAAUAUCUUCUGCUGUUUGUGGUUGUUUUACAACUCAGUUUAGUGCGUGAACCGGAUACUAAUCCCUGGGGGCAGCGUGGAUAGUAGGGAUGAGAAGCUGGAUGCACAAAGAAGAACAGUGCUGAGAACAGCCAGAACCGAGUUUGCUACUGAGAAUCCUACUAGCCCACCAUGAAGCCUUAUGGCAGCGUGAAGGAGCUUUUUUUGCUGCUAUUUUACAAGAACAGAAGACAUGCCUCUGAGAUGUUACAGUAGUACUAACAAUGAACGUUCAACCUCAGGUCCAAAUUCCCUACUGAUGCAAGAGCGGCUCUGCUGAAAUCAUCAGAACUCCACCCCCUUAUCUCACCAGUGACAGAGCUUGCCCGAUUCUGCACCUGCCCAAUGGGAACGCUAAUUGCAAGGUCAGCACAUCCAGAUCCGUUCUGCAGCCUACCGUGUUUAAAAUCUGGACAGCCCAUGCUGGGGUGCAUUCCUGGCUGA